GGAAACAGGGGAGUGCCUUCGGGAACGUCGGAGACAGGUGCUGCAUGGCUGUCGUCAGCUCGUGUCGUGAGAUGUUGGGUUAAGUCCCGCAACGAGCGCAACCCUUGUCUUUAAUUGCCAGCAUUCAGUUGGGCACUUUAAAGAGACUGCCGGUGUUAAGCCGGAGGAAGGUGGGAUGACGUCAAGUCCUCAUGGCCUUUACGACCCAGGGCUACACACGUGCUACAAUGGAUGGUACAAAGAGCAGCGAUCUCGCGAGAGGGAGCAAAUCUCAAAAACCCAAUCCUCAGUUCGGAUUGGAGUCUGCAACUCGACUCCAUGAAGUUGGAAUCGCUAGUAAUCGCGGAUCAGCAUGCCCGCGGUCGAAUACGUUCCCGGGCCUU
rnacentral:rRNA from 1 species